GACGAACGCUGGCGGCGCGCUUAACACAUGCAAGUCGAACGGAAAGGCCUGCUUUCCCUUGUGGAUUGCGGGUACUCGAGUGGCGAACGGGUGAGUAACACGUGAGUGAUCUGCCCCCAACUUGGGUAUAAGCCUGGGAAACUGGGUCUAAUUCCCGAUAGGACUGCAGGGUGGUGCCUGUGGUGGAAAACGAUUUUCUAGUGGUUGGGGAUGAGCUCGCGGCCUAUCAGCUUGUUGGUGGGGUAAUGGCCUACCAAGGCGGCGACGGGUAGCCGGCCUGAGAGGGUGGACGGCCACAUUGGGACUGAGAUACGGCCCAGACUCCUACGGGAGGCAGCAGUGGGGAAUAUUGCACAAUGGGCGGAAGCCUGAUGCAGCGACGCCGCGUGGGGGAUGACGGCCUUCGGGUUGUAAACUCCUUUCGACCGCGAGGAAGCCACCUGGUUGGAAGGGUGGUGACGGUAGUGGUAGAAGAAGCACCGGCUAACUAAGUG
rnacentral:rRNA from 1 species